UUAUUUUUUAUAUCAUAUUGUCAUGUUCCUUUAUUUUUCUCUUUCCAUUCCUCACUGUCUUCUUCCUCUCACCGAGCCUCUGCGCCGAUCUCCCUCCACCACCAAUCAUCGCCGGCGACAUCUCCCUCCACCACUAAACAACCAUCACCGCCUCUCACUACAAGAAAAAUAGAGAUUAAAACCUCAAAUUCUUCUUUGUUCUUCGUUCGUUCAAUCGUCUUCACCCUAAGCUUCAAAUUCGUUAAAUCGUUUUCAUUCUCCUCAGAUUCGUUCGUUCAACUUCGAUUCAGAAUUGUUCAACCCUAGUUUCAUUUUGGGAAGAGCUUCGAUAUGUUCAACUUCAAUUAAGAAUCGUUCAAUCUCAAUUCACUUCAACUCUCAUUCAGAAUCAUUGUUCAACUUCGAUUCAGUUCAACUCUCAUUCAGAAUCGUUCAUCCUCGAUUCGUUUUCUCUGCAAAGCUUCUUUUCAGAAUCUCUCAAGCUUCAAUUAAGUUUUGUUCAUCCUUCAAUUCAGAUUAUGAAUAAUUUGGUCGUGAUGAGUUUAGCUUCGAAAACAGAACCGUUGCUAAUGGUGUGGGGAAAGAAGUGUCCGUGCUUUCAAAGCCUGGUUCAAGCUCCACGACUAACACACACAGGUGAGAGGCUGAGAGCACAACCUCUUCCCUUUUAGCUUUUUCCGCCGCGUAACCUCUUCAAGCUGCCACAGUCGUCUCUCUCCACUCUGCCACCUUCUUGUCUGUGUCUUGUUCUGUCUCUCGCUCUACUCACUGCGUAUGCGAUCUCUCUCGCUCUCCUCGCUGCAAUGUGAUCUCUUUCUCACUCUCCUCGUUGCAAUUUGUUACCUGAAGCUCUGUUUAUCCUUAAGCUUUUGUUGCAAUUGAAAAAGAAAUUGAACCUGUUGAUGAAAGCAUGAUUUGGUGGAAUAUGCAAAGUUGUUGCCUAUGCACUGCUGCUUAUUUCCUGUUAUCACUAUAAAGCCAAGGUGAAGUCCCAGUGCCCGUUACAGAGGUUCGGAGCCUGUAUGAGAUUUUAGAUUACAAGGUGAACAAAGGAAUGCUCUUCUUUGAUGCAAUUUGAUCUGCUCAAAAUUCUUCUUUUAAUGGAAAUGGACACAAGAUGGAGCCAACCUGAUAUUUGGUUGCUUCUUGAGGUUACUUAGCAUGAAUGAUGAAUCCCAAGUUUGAGCACAUAUUGUGGAGCUAAGGUUAAGGCAUGUUUGGUUGAUCUGUUGCUAUGCUUGGAGCCUUUCAUCAGUUGUAUUUUUUGGCCUGCAUCUAUCCGCUAUUAAGGCAGCCGAUUACAAACAACAGUUGCUUGUCAAAAUAAAACAAUUGCCGCAAGCUAAACAUGGAAAUAUAGAUAUGGAUCCAACAGAUUUGAAAGAACGAAAUCCUUCUAUUGGUAAAUACUACUCAUGGAAGUAAUGCAAAUGAUGGUACACAUGUUGAUGAGUAUAUAUAUAAAUGAUUUUUGAAUGCAGAACUUAAAGAAUUAUUUAAAGUACGAUAUGUAGCCACCUUAAAGUUAUUAGAACCGUUAACAUUUUGGAUGUAUUGAUGACUUUGAUAUUAUGUAAUGUGAGAUACUUAUGUUUAUGAUGGAAAAAGUUGAUGUUUGCAAACAAA